GUCAAAUUUUGAAAGGCAUACGAAUUGAGUGUCAGAGGUCUUGCAGAACCAAAUACUGAAAUCUCUCGUUUUCCUAACGCCCGCAAGAAAAGAUAGACUCGCAUUUGGGCCCACGUGCGCUCAGGGAUGAUCGGUCUCGAAAACCUAUCUGGCUUCCGGAAGCCAGGUAGCUACUUGGCACACGGUGCUUUAAAAUUCUUGCAAGGACUAGAGGCCGUCCGAUCCCGCCGCCGCUGCCUUAUCCUCUUCUCCGCUCUCGCGCCACCGCUACCUCCCCCGCCGUCACUGUGUCCUGCAUCAUCGUGGAGGUUUGUCCGAAGGAGCGGGCGGGUGGUGGGGGGAGCGACCGGCAGUGAGGUCGCCGGGGUGGUGGUCGAGGUCGGCGGGGUUAGGGUUUCGAGUUUCGGGAUUCUUGGGGGUUCCCAUGGCCACCGGCCUUAGAGAAGAAGGUCAGGGGCGGCGGUGGCGGUUCGACCGGCGGCGGAGAUGAGGUGGUGAAGGAUUCCGAAGGGCGGGGUGGAGGGGACGAGUGGGCAGUGGGUGGGUGGCGCGGCCGCCGCCGACCGGGGGAGUGGAGGAGGGGGCGAUGGUCGGGUGGAGGAUGAAGAAGAUGGUGAGCUUCUGUUGGGCCGGAAGCUAGGAAGCUUAUAUAGCUUCCGUGUGCCACGUAGGAGCCCCCUGAUCGAUCACAGGCAUGGAGCAGCGACAGCAGCCGGCGUAGACGCUUGCCCCACUGCUCCCUCCUUGACUAGGGCGAGUCCUCCUUCGCUGGCACGAUCGCGCUGGGGCCAUGUCACCCGGCGGGUUCUCUAGGACUCGAGCAAGCAACAGCAACGGCUCGGCAGACGCGGGCAACAGCAACGCAGAGCAGCAGCGACAGAGGAGCAUGAGUAGGAAGGGGCGGUGGUAGAGCAGCAUUGCAGAGCAGGCUUGGAAAGGCCAGCGAGGAAAGGGCUCAGGGGACUCAACCGAUGGAGUGAAUGGAUAAGGAAGAAAAUGACUAGGUAAGGGAGAUGGUGGAUAAGGAAGAGUAAAAGGGGAAAAGGAAAAGGAGAUUUAAAAAGAAACCAUGUCCCUUUUAUUCAUCGUUCUUGUUCAUAUGAAGUCAUAUUAUAAAUUGAUAAAAGAAAGUUAAAGGAUA